rnacentral:rRNA from 1 species
UAGUCUACGCCGUAAACGAUGGAUACUAGUUGUUUGGCCUUCGGGCUGAGUGACUAAGCGAAAGUGAUAAGUAUCCCACCUGGGGAGUACGUUCGCAAGAAUGAAACCCAAAGGAAUUGACGGGGGCCCGCACAAGCGGUGGAGCAUGUGGUUUAAUUCGAUGCAACGCGAAGAACCUUACCAGAGCUUGACAUGUCGCAAAUUUUUACGAAAGUUUAAAGUGCCUUAGGGAAUGCGAACACAGGUGGUGCAUGGCUGUCGACAGCUCGUGCCGUGAGGUGUUGGGUUAAGUCCCGCAACGAGCGCAACCCCUAUCUUUAGUUGCCAGCAUGUAAUGAUGGGGACUCUAAAGAGACUGCCCGUGUAAACGGUGAGGAAGGUGGGGAUGACGUCAAAUCAGCAUGGCCUUUAUGCCUAGGGCUACACACGUGCUACAAUGGCAAGAACAACGGGUUGCAACAUGGUGACAUGAAGCUAAUCUCUAAAAUCUUGUCUCAGUUCGGAUUGG